GUGCCAGCAGCCGCGGUAAUACGUAGGGGGCAAGCGUUAUCCGGAUUUACUGGGUGUAAAGGGAGCGCAGGCGGUUUUGCAAGUUGAGAGUGGAAGCAGGGGGCUCAACCCCCUGACUGCUCCCAAAACUGUAAAACUUGAGUAUGGGAGAGGCAGGCGGAAUUCCUAGUGUAGCGGUGAAAUGCUUAGAUAUUAGGAAGAACACCGGUGGCGAAGGCGGCCUGCUGGACCAAAACUGACGCUGAGGCUCGAAAGCGUGGGUAGCAAACAGGAUUAGAUACCCUGGUAGUCCACGCUGUAAACGAUGAAUGCUAAGUGCUGGGAGGCAUAAGCCUUUCGGUGCCGUCGCAAACGCAUUAAGUAUUCCACUGGGGGAGUACGUUCGCAAGAAUGAAACUCAAAGAAAUUGGCGG
rnacentral:rRNA from 1 species